UGGGGAAGUAUUGGACAAUGGGCGAAAGCCUGAUCCAGCAAUGCCGCGUGAGUGAUGAAGGCCUUAGGGUUGUAAAGCUCUUUUACCCGGGAUGAUAAUGACAGUACCGGGAGAAUAAGCCCGCUAGCUACCGUGCCAGCAGCCGCGGUAAUACGGAGGGGCGUAGCGUUGUUCGGAAUUACUGGGCGUAAAGCGCACGUAGGCGGCUUUGUAAGUUAGAGGUGAAAGCCCAGGGCUCAACCCUGGAAUUGCCUUUAAUGACUGCAUCGCUAGAAUUGUGGAGAGGUAAGUGGAAUUCCGAGUGUAGAGGUGAAAUUCGUAGAUAUUCGGAAGAACACCAGUGGCGAAGGCGACUUUACUUGGACACAUAUUGACGCUGAGGUGCGAAAGCGUGGGGAGCAAACA
rnacentral:rRNA from 1 species